rnacentral:piRNA from 1 species
UUAGAUCCAGUUUUUAGAAAA